rnacentral:rRNA from 1 species
UGGGGAAUAUUGGACAAUGGGGGGAACCCUGAUCCAGCCAUGCCGCGUGUGUGAAGUAGGCCUUAUGGUUGUAAAGCACUUUAAGCGAGGAGGAGGGUACUGGUAUUAAUACUACCAGGUACUGGACGUUACUCGCAGACUAAGCACCGGCUACCUCUGUGCCAGCAGCCGCGGUAAUACAUAGGGUGCGAGCGUUAAUAGGAUUUACUGGGCGUAAAGCGUGCGUAGGCGGCUAAUUGAGUCGGAUGUGAAAUCCCCGAGGUUAACUUGGGAAUUGCAUUCGAUAAUGGUUAGCUGGAGGGUGGGAGAAGAGGGUAGAAUUCCAGGUGUGGCGGUAGAAUACGUAGAGAACUGGAGGAAUACCGAUGGCGAAGGCAGCCAUCUAGCAUAACACUGACGCUAAGAUACGAAAACAUGGGGAGCAGACGGG